rnacentral:rRNA from 1 species
UACGUAGGGACCAAGCGUUGUUCGGAUUUACUGGGCGUAAAGGGCGCGUAGGCGGCCAACUAAGUCAGACGUGAAAUCCCUCGGCUUAACCGGGGAACUGCGUCUGAUACUGGAUGGCUUGAGUUUGGGAGAGGGACGCGGAAUUCCAGGUGUAGCGGUGAAAUGCGUAGAUAUCUGGAGGAACACCGGUGGCGAAGGCGGCGUCCUGGACCAACACUGACACUGAGGAGCGAAAGCCAGGGGAGCAAACGGG